rnacentral:rRNA from 1 species
GACGAACGCUGGCGGCGUGCUUAACACAUGCAAGUCGAACGGUGAAGGUGGGAGCUUGCUCCUGCUGGAUCAGUGGCGAACGGGUGAGUAACACGUGAGUAACCUGCCCUUGACUCUGGGAUAAGCGUUGGAAACGACGUCUAAUACCGGAUACGAGCUUCAGCCGCAUGGCUAGGAGUUGGAAAGAUUUUUCGGUCAAGGAUGGACUCGCGGCCUAUCAGCUUGUUGGUGAGGUAAUGGCUCACCAAGGCGACGACGGGUAGCCGGCCUGAGAGGGGGACCGGCCACAGUGGGAAUGAGACACGGCCCAGACUCCUACGGGAGGGAGCAGUGGGGAAUAUUGCACAAUGGGCGCAAGCCUGAUGCAGCAACGCCGCGUGAGGGACGACGGCCUUCGGGUUGUAAACCUCUUUUAGCAGGGAAGAAGCGCAAGUGACGGUACCUGCAGAAAAAGCACCGGCUAACUACGUGCCAGCCGCCGCCGUAACAC